CUUGGACCUUCCACCAGCUGCGUUUCCAGCAAGAGCCGAGUACUGAAGGUGACAAAACCGAACCCAUUCCCCAUAAACCCUGAGUUUUCUCCUGGGAUCUCAAGUUGUCGAGAAGUGGCUGUAACUUAAGUGAGUGAGCAUUCCGUCCCUUAAGAGGUGUCGGGCCACAUCUGGCAAAGAGUCUCUGCCUCGCCAACCAGUUUUGUUUUGGUUUUUAAAGGAAGCCUUCAGCAAUAGAAGCGAAGCGACUGCAGUUGUCUGUGGCUGGGAAACUGAUGACUCAGACCCUAUUCAUGCUGUUGAAAGACUGUUUUAUGAGACCCGUCAGAGCCGUGGGUGGACCUGGAGAGGAGUUUGAAGGCAGGCUUCAUACACACAGUGAUGUCUGGUGUCCUCUGAAUAAGAAAAUCUACCAGCGAAACCAUUCAGUUACGGUAAAAACAGUAGGCAAAAAUGGAGUAUAGUCUCUUGAAAGUUCAUUUCAAAUGACUUGUGGACAGAUUUUGCUAUAAGAUUCUGAAUUCCUACUUGAAUACCUGUGUUGAUUAAGACGAGUUUCUGUGGUGUGAUAACUGGAGAUCCUGUUUUUUUAAAGAUUGUCAUUGAUUCCUUCUAAUUUUAGCUGGAUGAAUCUGUAGUUAGGGCCAGGAAUAGCUGUUGCCUUUUUAUAUGGUUUCCCUGAGUAAAUUAAAGAACGCUUUCAGUGCUCAUCUGUUUUAUUUCUCUGAGGGAAUUUUUGAACUGUAGUCAAGCCUUUCCCUCUUCUAUUUUUUUUUUUUUUUUAACGAGUUAAACAUUCAGAGCUUGUUAACUUUUGCUCUCUGCUUUCUCUAGCUGUCAGGUUUGGGGGAUUUUGUUUGUUUGCAUCCUCUGUUGGUUUCAGCACUGUUUUUAAAAUGCAGACACCAGAACUUUAUGCAGUUUCAAAUAUCCACCACGUUAGUGCUACACGUAAAGGUAAAUGAUUCUCCCACCCCAACUGCUUGUCACUAAUCUACUGUUGAUAUAUCUGAAGAUCACACUAACUUCGUUUUGUUUUCCCAGUCACAGCGUCAGAUUGGACACUUAUGGUGAGCUGCUUCGCUGCCAGAGUUUCUUCAGGUGAAAAUGAUCCAGAAGAUGAUUUUUAGGUAUAACCUAUAUUUUAGCUUUGAAGGUAUUCAGCAGUGUUAACGUGACUUGUUUUAAUGGAACCAGCUUACCAGGUGAGCCAUAUCCCCGUAAUACUCUCAUUUCCUUUCUUCUAAUACUGACAUCGCAAACAUCCAGUUGUGAUUUUUGGGUUUAGAGGGAAAGCAAUCUUGAGGAGCAGCAGAUCUAUUUAUAACCCUUGUUGAACUACAUAAUGGAACUAUUUUCAUUUCUCUAUAAUGAAAUUUAUAUUUUGUUCAUAAUCUCUUACUGGAGAAUGCUUUUUGAGAUCUACCAGCUAGUUUUUCAUCCAUUUUCCAGCAUUGCACUGCCUACUGCAUUACACUCUGUCUUUACUGUAUGAUAAUGUGAUUAAAAAGUAGGUCCUCCAACUAUUCCGUUCUUUUAUACCAGCACAAUUACUGUCUAUCAAAUUUAUAAUCUUUCAGAAUUAAACCACAUUGCACUGUUUGUUUAAGAACACAUAUUUAUUCCGUUCAUUUCUUUUACCUCCUUAUAAGAGGAAUUCCACAUCAGCCUUUGCAUUAUUUUGGCUAGGUUUGUUGUCAGGCUGCAUUUAUAAUCUUAACUUCCUUUUGUAUCUUUAAAAUUGAUUGUUAACAGGUUAAUAUGGUUAAUAAACUUCUCAUUGUCUUGCCA
rnacentral:lncRNA from 1 species